rnacentral:piRNA from 1 species
UCCAUUAUUGGUUCAAGAAGUCCCCUGCU